CACCCGCGGCUCGAGUGGUAGUCACUUUUAUUGAGCCUAAAGCGUUUGUAGCCGGAUUUGUAAAUCUCUAGGAAAAUACUUCUGCUUAACUGAAGAAAUUUUGGGGAGACUGCAAAUCUAGGGACCGGGUGAGGUUGAAUGUACUUCUGGGGUAGGGGUAAAAUCCUGUAAUCCUGGAAGGACGACCGGUGGCGAAGGCGUUCAACUAGAACGGAUCCGACGGUGAGGAACGAAGGCUAGGGGAGCAAACCGGAUUAGAUACCCGGGUAGUCCUAGCUGUAAACACUGCCCACUUGGUGUUGCAUCUCCGGUAAGGGGGUGCAGUGCCGUAGCGAAGGUGUUAAGUGGGCCGCUUGGGGAGUAUGGUCGCAAGGCUGAAACUUAAAGGAAUUGGCGGGGGAGCACCGCAACGGGAGGAGCGUGCGGUUUAAUUGGAUUCAACGCCGGAAAACUCACCGGAGGCGACCUGUGUAUGAGAGUCAACCUGAUGAAUUUACUCGAUAGCAGGAGAGGUGGUGCAUGGCCGUCGUCAGCUCGUACCGUAGGGCGUUCACUUAAGUGUGAUAACGAGCGAGACCCCCAUCUUCAAUUGCUAAGCUAACCGUGAGGUUGGUAGAACUUUGAAGGGACCGCCAGUGCAGAACUGGAGGAAGGAGGGGUCGACGGCAGGUCAGUACGCCCCGAAUCUUCCGGGCAACACGCGCGCUACAAAGGACAGGACAAUGGGCUGCGACCUCGAAAGGGGAAGCCAAUCCCGAAACCUGUUCGUAGUUAGGAUUGAGGGCUGUAACUCGCCCUCAUGAAUCUGGAUUCCGUAGUAAUCGCGGGUCAACAUCCCGCGGUGAAUAUGCCCCUGCUCCU
rnacentral:rRNA from 1 species